rnacentral:misc_RNA from 1 species
UACGAAGGGUCCAAGCGUUAUUCGGAAUCACUGGGCUUAAAGGGUGCGCAGGCGGGUCUGUAAGUGUUUUGUGAAAUCCCAUGGCUCAACCAUGGAACUGCUUGACAUACUGCAGGUCUUGAGCCCGACAGAGGUCGUCGGAACGCUAGGUGGAGCGGUGAAAUGCGUAGAUAUCUAGCGGAACGCCAAAGGUGAAGACAGACGACUGGGUCGGCGCUGACGCUCAGGCACGAAAGCGUGGGGAGCGAACGGG